UAGCGCCUAAAAUACUCAGUGCGCAGCAGUUCUUUCUCUAAGCCUAGCGGCCUCAUUCUUUUCGCCUCGUUCCGAUCUCUUGGUCCAUUAUCUUUUCUGUGGGCAUGCGUCAUUGUUGGUCAGUGGGCAUACAUUUUGUGAUUUGAGGUACUACCAAUUUCUUCCCCUAGACGCCAAUCUCUCGCCUUUCUUUCUUUGCCAUGCAAGAUUUAGGGUUUUGAAGGUUGUCGACUGCUCCACCGCAACGGAAAUAGUGGAAAGGAGGGUUCUUUCGGAGUGGGAGUUGCCGAUUUGUGAGUGAUUAUUUCCGGAUUCGGUCUUCCAGGUGGAAAAGGGCAACUUUUUUUUUUCGCUUCUUUGAGCUUCCCGAAUUCGAUUGCCGAUUCUUGGUGGUGGUGUGGCUUUUCCGAGUGCGAUGGUGGAAAGCAACGCGGUGAACGCCUGUGAGUCAAAGGUGCCGCUUUUGAUGAGGAACAUAGCCAUUUAUUUGAUUAGCCCAGACUUUGAAACCCAUUGUGAUCAAGAUGUACAAUGCCUCGAAGGGUAUUGCCAAAGCAUCAAGUUUUAAGCAAUUAACGAUAUGUAUUGUACAUAUGUAUUAAAACAUGAAUGGAUAGUUCUUAUUAUUUGGAUUGUAAUCGUUGCAUUACUUUUUCCAUUAUAGUAUAGGGUAAUCUAAAACAAAGUGGUUUUGUUGAAUGUGGAUAUUGUGUGAUGAAGUACAUGAAAGAGAUAGUUGAAUGUGAAAAUCUACAUUUGGAGAAGAUGAUGAGUUUCUUCUUUAUGAUA